rnacentral:rRNA from 1 species
GACGAACGCUGGCGGCGUGCCUAAUACAUGCAAGUCGAGCGGACAGAAGGGAGCUUGCUCCCGGAAGUUGGCGGCGGACGGGUGAGUAACACGUGGGCAACCUGCCCUGUAGAUCGGGAUAACAUCGAGAAAUCGGUGCUAAUACCGGAUAAUCAUUUGAAGUGCAUGCUUCGAAUGUAAAAGAUGGCUCCGGCUAUCACUACGGGAUGGGCCCGCGGCGCAUUAGCUAGUUGGUAAGGUAAUGGCUUACCAAGGCAACGAUGCGUAGCCGACCUGGGAGGGUGAUCGGCCAAACUGGGACUGGGACACGGCCCAGACUCCUACGGGAGGCAGCAGUAGGGAAUCUUCCGCAAUGGACGAAAGUCUGACGGAGCAACGCCGCGUGAGUGAUGAAGGUUUUCGGAUCGUAAAGCUCUGUUGUUAGGGAAGAACAAGUGCCGUUUGAAUAAGGCGGCACCUUGACGGUACCUAACCAGAAAGCCACGGCUAACUACGUGCCAGCCGCCGCAGUAACAC